rnacentral:rRNA from 1 species
GAUGAACGCUGGCGGCGUGCUUAAUACAUGCAAGUCGAACGAAGAGCCUUUGUAGCAAUACGAGGGUUUCUUAGUGGCGAACGGGUGCGUAACGCGUUGGUGACCUGCCCCGAAGUGUGGGAUAACAGUUCGAAAGGACUGCUAAUACCGCAUGUGGUCAUUGGGUUCAGAAGCUAAUGACUAAAGCAGUAAUGCGCUUCGGGAGGGACCUGCGUCCCAUCAGCUAGUUGGUGAGGUAACGGCCCACCAAGGCUACGACGGGUAGGGGACCUGAGAGGGUGGUCCCCCACACUGGCACUGAAACACGGGCCAGACACCUACGGGUGGCUG